rnacentral:rRNA from 1 species
ACGGGAGGCAGCAGUGGGGAAUUUUGCGCAAUGAGGGAAACCUUGACGCAGCAACGCCGCGUGCGGGAUGAAGGCCUUCGGGUUGUAAACCGCUUUCAGCAGGAACGAUUAUGACGGUACCUGCAGAAGAAGCUCCGGCUAACUACGUGCCAGCAGCCGCGGUAAUACGUAGGGAGCAAGCGUUAUCCGGAUUCAUUGGGCGUAAAGCGCGCGUAGGCGGUUGCUUAAGCGGGACCUCUAAUCUUGGGGCUUAACUCCAAGCCGGGUUCCGAACUGGGCAACUUGAAUGCGGUAGAGGUAGAUGGAAUUCCAUGUGUAGCGGUGAAAUGCGCAGAUAUAUGGAAGAACACCAAUGGCGAAGGCAGUCUACUGGGCCGAUAUUGACGCUGAGGCGCGAAAGCCGGGGGAGCAAACAGGAUUAGAUACCCUGGUA